rnacentral:rRNA from 1 species
UACGGGGGGAGCAAGCGUUGUUCGGAUUUACUGGGCGUAAAGGGCGCGUAGGCGGCUUGACAAGUCAAAGGUGAAAUCCCUCGGCUCAACUGAGGAACUGCCUUUGAAACUGUCUGGCUUGAGGCCGGGAGGGGGUAGCGGAAUUCCCAGUGUAGCGGUGAAAUGCGUAGAUAUUGGGAGGAACACCAGUGGCGAAGGCGGCUACCUGGACCGGUUCUGACGCUGAUGCGCGAAAGCGUGGGUAGCAAACAGG